ensembl:lncRNA
GAGUUAUCAGUGCCUAUCUUUUUCAAUGUAUUUGUUGCCUCCACCAGGAGACUCAUCUCUCAGAGAGACACAUACACAGGCCUCCUGGGGGCACGUAUGUGUCCUGCUUCUAUUUGUCUUUCACGCUUCAUGUUUAUGUGAUGCUAAGAAGCUCAUGUUUCCGGUUUGCUCUGAAAAUUCAAAUGGCUACCCUGUCUCGCUCUACUCCCCAUCCACCUGGUAGUUAAUAAUCACUACUUCCUGGGCAGGAAUUACCCCUGCAGAAUCAUCCUUUCUCCCCCUGCCCUCUUCAGCAGCUUGGCCAGUGUCAAUAACCCCAGACAGAAAUUCAAACAUAGUCAGAGGGACUUCCCUGGUGGCCCAGUGGUUAAGAAUCCUCCUGCCAAUGCAGGGGGUGGGGACACAGGUUCCAUCCCUGGUCUGGGAAGAUCCCACGUGCUGUGGGGCAACGGAGUCCUUGUGCCGUACCUACUGAGCCCGUGUUCUAGAGCCCAGGAGCCGCAACACCGACGACUGUGUGCCCUGGAGCCCCUGCACCACAGCAAGAGAAGCCACCGCAGUGAGAAGCCCGUGCGCUGCAACUUGAGAGCAGCCCCCACUUGCUGUAACUUCAGAAAGCCCCGGUGCAGUAGCAAGGUCCCAGUGCAGCCAAAAUUAAAAUAAAUAAAUACUAAAAAAAAAAAAAAAUAGACAGUGGCAACUCCAGCUCCAGACAAGGAAACAGGCCCUGGCCCCACCCGCCUCUAGGCUCAAGGGUCUGUUAAUAUCACCUUGGAGAAUCCAUCUCAAGACUUUUCAGCAUCAGGAGGGGCUUCCAAACUCUGACCAGCAGAGGAAAUGAGGCCACGUUGAACCAACAGCACUGUUUUCUGCCAGCCGCAAACACUUGGCAAGAAGGAAGGCUUGGAACAGGGAGGGGGCGUUGGCUCUGAGCAGAGCGGAUGAGACAACGGUUCUGUGGAGCCGUCAAGUUUAUGUUUCCUUCCAAAUGAGGCGUUGGGGGGAGAGAAGAGUCGCUGGGUACUCAGGCCACGAGGGAAGCUUUGACCCGGUCUGGAGGUUUUUCUCAGGAACACAUGAACGGGGCACGGCCUCUCUUGGUGUCCCUCCUGGGUCAGGGGGCCUGGAGGGGACCCAGGCUGGAGAGCAGGUCUGGGAGCCUGGCCCAGAGCUGGGGACAGACGGCAGGAAACCACCGCGACAGCCAGAAAAGCGCUCCCAGCUCCGAGCGUGGGCACCCAGCGGCCAGGCAGGAGCGGCCGCCACAGCCCGCGACGCGCCUUCCGAGGACUUCCAGGGCUGCUUCUAGACGCCUCUGCAGCAUGGGGGCUGCGCACUGCCUGCGAACGGCGCCAAGAGCCCAUUCCACCGUUCCUAACCAGAAAAGUCCUCCUUUCACAUUUGAUAAUGUCAAAUAUAAUUUGAAAUACGUUAUGGCCAGUCUAAUUACAGUUUCUUUGUCC